rnacentral:rRNA from 1 species
GAACUGAAGAGUUUGAUCAUGGCUCAGAUUGAACGCUGGCGGCAGGCCUAACACAUGCAAGUCGAGCGGAUGAGUGGAGCUUGCUCCAUGAUUCAGCGGCGGACGGGUGAGUAAUGCCUAGGAAUCUGCCUGGUAGUGGGGGACAA